rnacentral:tRNA from 1 species
AAAUAAGAAGCAAAACUUGCAUUUAGUUUCGACCUAAAAAUCUGAUUAAACCUUAAUCCUUAUUUU